GAUUUUUCAACUUCAUAUGGUUGUGCUUGAAAAUGCAUAUUAGUAGGGUGACUAUCAUGGGUAUUACUUUGUUUGUGAAUGCCUGGGUGCUUUAGACAUGUUUUAAGAGCUGAGCUAAAGAUUUUUUUAAUCUACACGCACCUCAAUACCUCAUGAACUGUGUACUAACUCUUAUUUGAAUUUUUUGUGAUAGUGGUUUGCCUACCC
rnacentral:lncRNA from 1 species